rnacentral:ncRNA from 2 species
ACGUCGGUUCGUGACCGGCGAGAUCAGGAUGGCUUACCAUCGGGGAGCGGACGAUUUUUACAGCCGAUCGCCUGGGCGCAUCUC